rnacentral:rRNA from 2 species
UGCAGUCGAGCGGUAAGGCCCUUUCGGGGGUACACGAGCGGCGAACGGGUGAGUAACACGUGGGUGAUCUGCCCUGCACUUCGGGAUAAGCCUGGGAAACUGGGUCUAAUACCGGAUAUGACCAGAGGCUGCAUGGCUUUUGGUGGAAAGGUUUACUGGUGCAGGAUGGGCCCGCGGCCUAUCAGCUUGUUGGUGGGGUAAUGGCCUACCAAGGCGACGACGGGUAGCCGACCUGAGAGGGUGACCGGCCACACUGGGACUGAGACACGGCCCAGACUCCUACGGGAGGCAGCAGUGGGGAAUAUUGCACAAUGGGCGAAAGCCUGAUGCAGCGACGCCGCGUGAGGGAUGACGGCCUUCGGGUUGUAAACCUCUUUCAGCAGGGACGAAGCGAAAGUGACGGUACCUGCAGAAGAAGCACCGGCCAACUACGUGCCAGCAGCCGCGGUAAUACGUAGGGUGCGAGCGUUGUCCGGAAUUACUGGGCGUAAAGAGCUCGUAGGCGGUUUGUCGCGUCGUCUGUGAAAACCAGCAGCUCAACUGCUGGCUUGCAGGCGAUACGGGCAGACUUGAGUACUGCAGGGGAGACUGGAAUUCCUGGUGUAGCGGUGAAAUGCGCAGAUAUCAGGAGGAACACCGGUGGCGAAGGCGGGUCUCUGGGCAGUAACUGACGCUGAGGAGCGAAAGCGUGGGUAGCGAACAGGAUUAGA